rnacentral:rRNA from 1 species
AUACGGAGGGUGCAAGCGUUAAUCGGAAUUACUGGGCGUAAAGCGCGCGUAGGCGGCUAUUUAAGUCAGAUGUGAAAGCCCUGGGCUCAACCUGGGAACUGCAUUUGAAACUGGCUAGCUAGAGUUUGGUAGAGGGUAGUGGAAUUCCGGGUGUAGCGGUGAAAUGCGUAGAUAUCCGGAGGAACACCAGUGGCGAAGGCGGCUACCUGGACCAGAACUGACGCUGAGGUGCGAAAGCGUGGGGAGCAAACAGGAGUAGAAACCCCAGUAGUCC